rnacentral:lncRNA from 1 species
UGAACCUGAGCCGUGCCUUUCCCAAAGAGCCGAACCCGGCGGCCACACAGUAAAACCCAAGCUGGAGUGAGGGUCUUACCUUUAACAGAUUAGACGUCGCCAUGUUCUUUAACUUGGACUCUCGCGAGACGACGCGAGAAUUCGUGGCGCUCCCGGCCAGGCCUUGACCGGAGGCCGGAGCUCCCACCAGGGCCCAGGGCCCGUCGGCCCGCACCAGGGUGUGGUGGGCGCUGGAGCAGCGCGCCGACAGCGCUGACCUCGUCCCAAGCACCAGGAGCUUCCUCACUCUUCUCCCCUACAUGGUCACCGGAGCUUCCCCACGCGAAAGACCUCAUGCACGCGCUCAGGAAGACCGGAACGGCGAAUGCUGAGAAGGUAACGGGAGCCGACCUGACUUGGAAGAGGAAGCAUCGACUCCACGAGCCUCCCCGACUCCUUCGGAUUAGCCUUUGUGGUUGCACCCGCCGCGGCCACCUGCAACGAAUUUAGCUCGGCUUAGGCCCCGCAGCUCAGGUUCCGCGGCCACGUCACGUGACGCGAGGGCGGGGACGCGCUCGGGAGCGAGCGUGGGAGCCUGGAAGCCUCGGUGGGUCCCGAGGCUGCAGCGAGGCCGGGACCGUGCCCUCUGCUGGCGGGACCUGGCGUUUUCCGGCACCCCGCCCCAAAUCCCGGACUCGGUGUUAAGGGAGGUGCAUUGUCCUGAAAUGCUUACAACAGCUGUCUUCAAUAACUCGUGCAUAGAAUGCGCCCAGUAAAUAUGUGUUGACUGCACAAGCGUGAUGACUCUUAAUAUUUCUAUUCAGGAAUGCUUGGCACUUAGAUAAAAUAUUGUUCAGUGCUUUGGGAGGCCGAAGGGGGAG